AUUGAACGCUGGCGGCAGGCCUAACACAUGCAAGUCGAGCGAGCGGCGGACGGGUGAGUAAUGUCUGGGAAACUACCUGAUGGAGGGGGAUAACUACUGGAAACGGUAGCUAAUACCGCAUACCAUCAGAUGUGCCCAGAUGGGAUUAGCUAGUAGGUGGGGUAAUGGCUCACCUAGGCGACGAUCCCUAGCUGGUCUGCGAGGAUUACCAGCCACAAUGGAACGGAGACACGGUCGCGAUUCCUACUGGAGGCAGCAGUGGGGAAUAUUGCACAAUGGGCGCGAGCCUGAUGCAGCCAGGCAGCGUGUGUGAAGAAGGCCUUCGGGUUGUAAAGAACUUUCAGCGGGGAGGCGUUACCCGCAGAAGAAGCACCGGCUAACUCCGUGCCAGCAGCCGCGGUAAUUC
rnacentral:rRNA from 1 species